rnacentral:lncRNA from 1 species
GGGGAUGUCAGCGAGGAGCAAGGAGAACGGUUUCACCAGGAUAUUCGACUGAUGGAAGAGAGGUGCCAGGGCCGAUGGGAUGUCAACAUGCUUGCAGACUACUGUUGGUGCCUCAAGAGAGAUGUUACAGAUGCGAAACACAGAUGAAAAUCUUUGUGAAAGCCAUUUAUUCCGCAUUAAUUGUUUUCCUUCGUCUUUUUAAUGUUGAAUUUCACAUUAACGGAACUUGUGUAUCAUUUUAUAUAUAGUUUGUACAUUUUCUGUCAAUGCAAGUCUGAUUUUGAAUUUAAAAAAAUGCUAAUUAAAAAAACAAAUUUUGAUUUUUUUUUUUCCUUAAAAUUGAGAUGUACAAAUUAUACAUAUAAUGACAACUUGACCUGAUUGAGCGAAAUGAGUUACAUUUCUAAAUUCAGCAUGCAAAAAGCAUACGAGAACCGUUGAGAAAACCUAGACCUCUGAAAUGACGCAGACCAGUAUUCAAUCAUAUCCCUGAAUUUUGUUUUUUUUUCUCUGCAGGUCUGUAUAGCUUCUAUUGGGUGGUGGAAGAUGUGGUAAUGGUCAACUAACCUACCCCUGCAUGCUUAAAAAUGGCAAGCCCCUCGCCUUCAGAUACCCUGACAACUGACUGGUCUAAAUGUGUCCUUUGUCAGGUGGACAGCAAAGAACAAUUGACAUGUCCCACUGAUGCAGGUUAUAAAACCAUAGCUGAGAACAUCCUUCAAUUUAAUGAACUCCGGGGGGGGGGGGGGGGGGGGGGGGGGGGGGGGGGGGGGGGGGGGGGGGGGGGGGGGGGGGGGGGGGGGGGGGGGGGGGGGGGGGGGGGGGGGGGGGGGUUACUUGAAGUUUGGUAAAAGUAAACUGGAACGUGCCAAGGAGCGGAAGCGCAAAUCUAAUGAAGAAGCAACAACUUCUAAGCAGAUUUUCACACGAAGCAGUAGUGGAGAAGCACAUACCUACAUACCUGAAGACAGCAAAAGCCCUGUGUGCUUCCUUUGUUCCAAACUGGAAACAAAUGAGAAACUUCAUGAAGUCUCCACAUUUCAAGUAGAUUUCCGUGUGCGGAAGUGUGCACAUAAGCUCCAAGAUGAGGAUCUUCUGGCAAAAUUAAGUGCAGGAGACCUUAUUGCCCUUGAGGCAAAGUAUCAUACAAGAUGCCUCACCAACUUAUACAACAGAGCACGUGGAAUGGUCCCGCAGGAGCCAGGUACCUCAAGUGAUCAAACAUGCAAAGGCAUCGCAUUAGCGGAGCUGAUAUCCUACAUGGAGGAGAGGAGACAAGAUGAGGACAUUAAGGUGUUCAGGCUUGCUGAUCUUACCAAGCUAUACACCGAGAGGCUGGAUCAGCUUGGUGUGGCUGUUGCCUCACGAGUAAAUAGUACGCACCUUAAAGACCGAAUUUUCAUGCAUCUCCCAGGUAUGAAAGCUUACAAGGAAGGGAGGGAUGUGUUCAUGGCCUAUGAGGAUGAUAUUGGCACUGUCCUGCGACAAGGAUAUCAGACUGAUCGAGAUGAACAGAGUGUCAUGAUGACUCAAAUUGCCGAUAUGAUCCGACGUGACAUUUUUACGCAAAAGGUGACAUUCUCAGGGUCGUUUGACCAGACCAGUCAAGUGGAAUCAGUGCCGCAGUCGGGGGGGGGGGGGGGGGGGGGGGGGGGGGGGGGGGGGGGGGGGGGGGGGGGGGGGGGGGGGGGGGGGGGGGGGGGGGGGGGGGGGGGGGGGGGGGGGGGGGGGGGGGGGGGGGGGGGGGGGGGGGGGGGGGACUAUGGGAAAGUACCACAAGUUUAUCACAGCAAAGAUCGGGAGAUGCCACUAUCAGUCUACUUGGGACUUAAGGCCCAUGCAUUAACAAGGGAACGGCAGUUGGUUGAUCGCCUCUUUGCCCUUGGUGUGUCAGCCUCAUAUGAUCGUAUCAUGGAUAUAAUCACAUCAUUAGCAAAUAAUGUCUGUGAGUAUUAUCACCAGAUUGGCACAGUCUGUCCUCCCCAGAUCCAGAAAGGUCAGUUUAUCACCGCAGCGGCGGACAAUAUUGACCACAAUCCAAGCUCAGCUACCUUCCACCGGAUCAUUUCAGGGCACAAGCUGCACGAUUCACCAGAGCAAAUAUCUGAAGAGACAGAAGCUUCCCUAGAGUAUUUCACUGUGCUCUAUGACAGGACAAUAUUGACCACAAUCCAAGCUCAGCUACCUCCACCGGAUCAUUUCACGGCACAAGUUUGUCCUUGUUGCAGGAUGUUACCACCGACAGUAACAUGAGUGACACCGAUCGUGGUUUCACCAAUUCAAUAGCACCUUUAAAGGAGCAAAGAAUGGCGAAGUA